UGCAAGUCGACGCCCCGCAAGGGGAGUGGCAGACGGGUGAGUAACGCGUGGGAACAUACCCUUUCCUGCGGAAUAGCUCCGGGAAACUGGAAUUAAUACCGCAUACGCCCUACGGGGGAAAGAUUUAUCGGGGAAGGAUUGGCCCGCGUUGGAUUAGCUAGUUGGUGGGGUAAAGGCCUACCAAGGCGACGAUCCAUAGCUGGUCUGAGAGGAUGAUCAGCCACAUUGGGACUGAGACACGGCCCAAACUCCUACGGGAGGCAGCAGUGGGGAAUAUUGGACAAUGGGCGCAAGCCUGAUCCAGCCAUGCCGCGUGAGUGAUGAAGGCCUUAGGGUUGUAAAGCUCUUUCACCGAUGAAGAUAAUGACGGUAGUCGGAGAAGAAGCCCCGGCUAACUUCGUGCCAGCAGCCGCGGUAAUACGAAGGGGGCUAGCGUUGUUCGGAAUUACUGGGCGUAAAGCGCACGUAGGGAUAUUUAAGUCAGGGGUGAAAUCCCGCACUCAACUGCGGACUGCCUUUUGAUACUGGGUAUCUUGAGUAGAAGAGGAAGGGAAUUCCGAGUGUAGAGGAGAAAUUUCGUAUAUUUUCGGAGAACACCUGAGGCCGAAGGGCUCUGUUUACUGGUCCAUUCUGAACGUGAUGUGCCGUAACUAUGUGACUAACAGAUAUUAUUUUCCCCUUGUACUCCCCCGUCCUAACCGUAAAAGUUAUCCC
rnacentral:rRNA from 1 species